rnacentral:rRNA from 1 species
UACGUAGGGUGCAAGCGUUUAUCCGGAAUUAUUGGGCGUAAAGAGCUCGUAGGCGGUUUGUCGCGUCUGCUGUGAAAACUGGAGGCUCAACCUCCAGCCUGCAGUGGGUACGGGCAGACUAGAGUGCGGUAGGGGAGAUUGGAAUUCCUGGUGUAGCGGUGGAAUGCGCAGAUAUCAGGAGGAACACCGGUCGGCGAAGGCGGGUCUCUGGGCCGAUACUGACGCUGAGGAGCGAAAGCGUGGGGAGCGAACAGG